UGCGCAGGCGGCCGUGUGUGUGAGGCGUGAAAGCCUGGAGCUUAACUCCAGAAUUGCACCUCAAACUACAUGGCUAGAGCAUUGGAGAGGGUAGCAGAAUUCAUGGUGUAGCAGUGAAAUGCGUAGAUAUCAUGAGGAAUACCAGAGGCGAAGGCGGCUACCUGGACAAUUGCUGACGCUCAGGCACGAAAGCGUGGGGAGCAAAAGGGAUUAGAUACCCCUGUAGUCCACGCCCUAAACGGUGCACACUAGGUCUUGGCGGAUUCGACCCCACCAGGGCCCAAGCUAACGCGUUAAGUGUGCCGCCUGAGGACUACGGUCGCAAGACUAAA
rnacentral:rRNA from 1 species